UACGAAGGGGGGCUAGCGUUGCUCGGAAUCACUGGGCGUAAAGCGCACGUAGGCGGAUCUUUAAGUCAGAGGUGAAAUCCCAAGGCUCAACCUUGGAACUGCCUUUGAUACUGGGGAUCUCGAGUCCGGAAGAGGUGAGUGGAACUGCGAGUGUAGAGGUGAAAUUCGUAGAUAUUCGCAAGAACACCAGUGGCGAAGGCGGCUCACUGGUCCGGUACUGACGCUGAGGUGCGAAAGCGUGGGGAGCGAACAGGG
rnacentral:rRNA from 1 species